rnacentral:tRNA from 1 species
GGCCUGAUGGUGAAAAGGAAAUCAUCCCGCGCUUCUAACGCGGUGUUCCGGGUUCGAAUCCUGGUCGGGCUA